UAUAGACUGGCUUGGCUGCCGAACUUCAAAUGAAGGCAUCUGAAAAUCUAGUUCCUUCAUAUCGUAUACUACUGAAGGUUUGUAACAAUUUUAGCUACAGUCUGAAACUAUUAGACUUUUAAACUUUGUGUCUUUCUAUGUGUUUCUGUGCCUGGCUUUAAGAACCUCCAUGAUUUGGAAGAAUUUAAGUGAAUACAAACCAUUUAACUUUUAGAUGUAUUUUAUACUCUAAAGUGAAAAUAAAGUUGUGAUGUUCUUUGGCUUCAGGGAGAACUUUUGCUGCUUUCUUCAGAACAAAUGAAAUUCCCAUCUCUAGAUGAAUAAGCGAAUGGAGAGAAUCAUAGAAUCAUAGAAUUGUCUAGGUUGGAAGGGACCUUUAAGAUGAUGAUGAAGACAGAAGCAUAUUUGAACCAUGUUCUCUUUGCUUAGUGUCAUUUACCUCUCCUGCUUUAUGAUGGUGACAAUUACGAGAGUUAUGUCAUAUUCUGAUUCUCCAUGAGGUACGGUCAAGUUCUGUGAAAAAGAUACAAAAAUGCCUGAAAGAGUUAAUUGGUGUGGAUGCUGAGCUUCGUCUGCACCACCCAGAGUUCUUCCAGAAGCUCUUCUGCUUGAUACAGCAGCACCCGAUGGUCCUGCAGAGCACAGGCCAAGGGCAACCUACCACUGAGAAUGACAACAGAAAGCCAUCAGGGAUGUCACUCCUCAAAGGACAAGUCCUGUCACUCCUCACAAGUCCUGAGAUGUCAGACGAGGGUUCCUCAGCACCAAGCCUUGCCUCCUCUGGAGCCACGCGAGCCCUUUGGGGUGUGAUUUCUGGGUCUCUGUUUCUUCAUAACCAGGUGGCGGCGGUGCAGAAACGGGGUCUCUGCUUGCCAUUCUGGUGGGAGCUGUGGUGGAUUUCCAGCAGAGAAACCCCAGUGGAGGAAAGCAGCUCCGCAGCAGCCAUCUGUCACCUAGCCGUGUGUGGACACUGCUUCACAAGGAAGGCACAGCCACAGGCAGAUACUCACUCAGGUAUGCCAUGAUUUAAGAACCAAAAAUCAUAGAAUCAUAGAAUUCCCCAGAGUGUCUCCCCAGAGCGGAGCAGAGGGGCAGACUCCCCCCCCGGCCCUGCUGGC
rnacentral:lncRNA from 1 species